rfam:Picea glauca, whole genome shotgun sequence.
GUGUAAAUGAUGUAAUUUAACUACUAAUUUUAUUGAUGUCUUAAAAUUUGAGAUUUUUAAAACUGAUGCACA